CUCUAAAUCAAGAUCUUGAUGACAUUCGAGCGCAAUUGAUAAUCGAAAUGGAACAUGUCAUUCGCAUUCGGGUGGUCUCUAAAACUGAUUGGGAUACGAUGCAGAAAAUGAUUGGAGAUUUGGGCAUUAUAGGCCGACAAUUGUUUUAAGCUCGGAUAUAAUUGGAGAUACCUCUUGGAAAGUGAUUUCUCAGUUUGCUUCGAGAGUUGGUUCUCCCUAUGCUGAUGCUGGGCCUUCUUUGGAGUCUUCACCGCCUCAGCGUGGGCCCCAGAGCCUUAUCCUUAUGAUAUAGGUCACUAUAUGCAGAAUCUUCAUCAGUAAGCUGACACGCGUGUUAACUUAGUAUAGUUUUCUUGUGAAAGGCCAUCUUUUUUCAGUAGAUAAGAAGGGAAUCAUGCCAGUAAAUCAUGCUAGCUACUGUCAGUUGUCAGAGAAAAGAAGACAAUCAAAUGACUUCUCUAUUCUAGUAAUUCAAUUCGUGUUACAGCAUACUUGAUACUUGGAAGAGUGAAAUAUUGUCUUCGUCAAAAUCUCCAGCGGCGGCGUGUUUCUGAUGAGUCUCCAUGGAGGUUUUUGCACUGAAGUUCGAAUCUAAUUGCCUCUCGUUUCCAGAUUAGACCUCGGCCCAGUCUGGAUCCUCCUCCUCCCUUCCUCGGAUCCUGUGAGUUGCGGGUGGCGGUGUGGCCAAUAACCGGCAAGAUGGAAGACGGGGUUUUGUGCUCUACUGGCGGCGGCCUUCGUAGCGUUGGUUUCCGAUUUGGUUUUCCCAAUAUGGGGGGUGCUGGUGGACUAAUAAAUUUCUUUACCUUUCAGUUGUCUAUAUUUAUUUUUACUUAGGUUUCAGUUGGGUUGGUUGAUUUUCAGAGUGUUUUCCUGUGCUCGCCGUGGCCGCUGAGGUUUCAUCGGCGUUCGCUUGUUUGCACAGUUUGGCCGGUGUUUCACUCUUUGCGUCCAGAGUCCCCCGUGGCAACGGGGACUCACCCCAGAGUAGUGUCCUGCACUACUCCUGCUUGCGGCAUUGAACCGGAAUCCUGCUUUUCACUCGCCCCGUUCGUGCCUUGAGCUGCCGGCGUGGCCUUAAUGGAGAGCAUAUCCUUGGAUGGGGUGUGACGUCCUCUGGCUUGAAGCUAUGCUAUUCCCUGGAACAAAUGUAAUUAAUUUGGAAUGAAUAGAUGUUUAUGCCGUCGGUGUAUAUAAUUUGUUCUCUUCUUAUUAUUGCAUGUCUACAACUCCACUUGGCGGACGUGGUUUGGUUCGUGUAGAGGUUUGUGUGCCCGCGUUGUGAUAUUGGAUGGAAGUUUUCCUUUUUGCAUUC